rnacentral:lncRNA from 10 species
UUUUUUUUAAGAGAGAGAGAGGUUCAGGAAACAUCUGAAGGGGAAUGGGCAAGUGAUGCCUGAACGGUACUGGCAGAAGAUAAAUGGUGGAGGAACAAAAACUUGCCAAGAAAAUUAAUCUUCAGAGAAAAAACAUGGAAAGACAUACACAAAAAGUGAUUCUUACACUGUGAGAGAGAGGCUUCUUGAAGUCUUGUAAGCUCUGAUAUGUGGCCAGUGAAGAAAUAGGAUAAUGCAUGGAAUGUAUCAUUAUAAUAACAACUUCUCUUUUUCUACCAUCUACAGAAAACCUCUUUGAACCAAAUUGAAUAGAAUUUCUAUUUCUUGCAUUGGAGAAAGCUGGUAAUUUUACAAAUCAAUUUUAAAAAGAUGAGCCCUCUGCCCACCCCAAAUGUACGUGCUCAGCAAAAGGAGGACAAUAUGUAUACAGGUUAAUAAUAUUUAAUAAAAG